rnacentral:rRNA from 1 species
AUGGCGACGCCCAUGGAAGAGGACCGGCUGGAGUCGGCGGCGGCGCCGCCCGCGGACGUCGCCGGAGGAGGCGCGGAAGACGGGGAGAAGCCCGACGCGCCGCCCAUGGAAUCGGACUCAGACUCUUCGGACUCCGACGACGAAGGGGACGCCGGCGACGAGCUCCGCAUCCAGGCCCUCGAGCGCGCCCUCCUGGAGCAGCCUCUCGACUACGAAUCCCACGUUCAGCUCAUACAAUGCUUGAGAAAAUCCGGGAAUAUCGAGAAGCUUCGUGCUGCAAGGGAGGAGAUGAACAAGUACUUCCCUCUCACACCGAAGAUGUGGCAGGAUUGGGCAAAGGAUGAGAUUUCAUUGAGCUCUGGUCGUGGAUCUUUUGAUGAUAUUGAAAAACUCUAUGAACGUGGUGUGCAAGAAUAUCUGAAUAUUAAGUUAUGGCGGGAUUACCUUGAUUAUGUUGAAGAGCAUGAUCAGUCAGUGUCUCAAUGUUCGCAAUCUGGUCUCUCGAAAAUGAGGGAUUUGUAUGAGCGUGCAAUCACUGCAGGGGGUCUACACGUGACCGAAGGCAGCAAACUAUGGGAAGCCUACAGGGAAUAUGAGAUGGCUAUUUUGACCAUAAAUGAUGGUAAUGAUGAGGAGAAGGCAAAGCAGGUUCAACGUGUCCGCGCGCUCUUCCACCGCCAGUUAUCUGUGCCUUUGGCUGACAUUGAGUCAACACUUGCUGCGUAUAAGAGUUGGGAAGCUGAAGAAGGCAAUACAAGGGACCCAGAUUCCCAGGUUGAUGAUGUUCCCCCAAAUGUUUUAUCUGCUUACAAAAAGGCCAGCGAGAUGUACAAUGCACGAAAGCAGUACGAGGAUGAACUAAGCGUCGUGGCUGAAUCCGAGGCUAACAAACUACAAGUGUUCCUGAAAUACAUCAAAUUUGAGAAGUCUUUUGGUGACCCUGCUCGUGUCCAAGUUUUAUACGAACGGGCCGUUUCUGAGCUUCCCGUUUCAAGUGAUCUAUGGAUGGGAUACACGAGUUACCUGGACAGAACCCUAAAGGUACCUGCUAUACUAAAAAGUGUUUACCACAGAGCGACGAGAAACUGUACAUGGGUUAGUGACCUCUGGGUCCACUACUUGCUGUCUUUGGAGCGCAUUCGUGCAUCUGAAGACGAACUGCGACAUGUCUUUGAGCUAGCCAUUCAAUGUUCUUUCCCAAGCAUGAACGAGUACCUCAAUAUUUAUCUUACUCGAGUUGAUAGUUUAAGACGGAGAAUGCCAACUGGCUUGGAUUUCGAACUGAUUAGGCAGACAUUCGUGGAUGCUGCUGAGUUCCUCUCACCACAACUAGGAAUUGAGGAGCUAUUACUCUUGCAUGCAUACUGGGCUAAAUUAGAGUGUAAUAUUGGCAAAGAUAUAGCUGCAGCACGCGGAGUUUGGGAAAAUGCUCUCAAGAAAAGUGGGUCUGUUUUGGAGGUUUGGCAGCACUAUAUUUCAAUGGAGAUAGAAAGGGGGCAUACUCAUGAGGCAAGAUCACUUUACAAGCGUUGUUAUAGCAAAAAAUUUGCUGGGUCUGGAUCAGAGGCUGUAUGUCAUGCGUGGAUAAGAUUUGAAAGGGAGCAUGGCACCUUGGAUGAUUAUGACCUUGCUAUAAAAAAGGUCACCCCUCGUUUGAAGGAGCUUAUAAUGUUCAAGGCUCAGCAGGAGGCUAAAUCGGACCCAUCCUCAGCCCCCAAAGAAACUUCUUAUGCAAAUGAUUCCUCUCAGAAAAGAAAGCCAAGUAAAAUGACCAGUAAAGUGCAGCCUCCUGCUAAAAAAAGGAAAGAUAAUCCACCUAAAAAGACCGUGUCAUCAGAUGACCACAGAUCGAAGGAACAAAGCACAGACAGCCAUCUUCAAGAAGGUGGAGAGGUCAGCAAAGGGAACGCCGAGGCGCCUGUGGAAAUGAAAGUUGAAGGUGACAGCAAAGGAGGAAAUACAAGUUCAAAUCAACCGAAGCCGUACUUCUACAGUGACAAAUGCACUGCCUACAUGUCAAAUAUAGACUUGAAAGCAACUGAGCUACACAUCCGUGGUUUCUUUUCUGACAUUGGUGGCGUGGUAGACAUAAGGUUACUGAGGGACAGAUCCACGAAAAAAUCAAGGGGGCUGGCGUAUGUGGACUUUUCAGACAAGGAUCAUCUUGAAGCAGCCAUUAGAAAAAACAAACAAAAGUUGCUCAGUAAGAAAGUAAGUAUUGCUCCUUCAGAUCCAAGCAAGAGUAAGAAGAACCGUGAAGCAGGCACUUCCUCCAAAGAUAAAUUGCCCUCUGGAGGUGAUCAUGGUGAAAAAGCGCCAGUCGACGGUACUUCAGAGAAGGAGAUGCCCAAAGGUUCGACGAAAAUCACAGGCAAGAACACAUUAUUUGCGCCGCGGGCUUUGGUCAAACCACUUGGAUGGAACAAGAAAGACGAGAAACCAGAUGUUGCUGCGGAAGAGCUGAAGUCGAAUGAUGAGUUCAGAAAUCUGUUGCUUAAGAAGUGA